AUCUCAAGGCUAAGUCUAUAACUAAAACUUAAGUUUUGUUGACCUUUGCCCUCAGGAAGAGGCCACCAUCUUGAAUUUUGAGCCCAAAAAAAAUCCCCUUUGGUACCUCCUUGGGAUUUUGAUGUAUCGCCUCCUAACUCCUCAAACCUCAUUGGGAAGCUGCGCAAGAAAAAAUCUUGGAUUUUUAUAUCAGAAUAUUGCGGAAAUUAAUAGAGGCAAAAAAAAGGGGUAACGGGGGUACCUACAACAUACAAACUGUGCUUUUUAUUUUUUUAUUUCUUGUUGGACAGCAGCUCUUAUUUUGCUCUUUGAAAGCGAGGGUCAAAAGUGACAUAAAAAGGCAAAAAGAAGGUCUCUGAGCUGCUGCAUCCUUCUCUAACAAGUGGAAAAGUGUGAAUAUUUCAGCUUUGAAAACAUUAAAGCAUAUUCAAAUGUAAACAUUACCCUGUGUGCUCAUGCAGAAUGAGAUUAUUAUUAGAUCUGCAACGUGUCACAGAGGAGAGACUCUGUGAACGCCUGUGCAUAUUUGAUCUGUUAGGAUAACUAUUUUUUCUGCCUAAUUUGCCAUUAUGGAUUCUAAUGAGUUAAGUGGCUCAUAUAUUCCUUGCUUUCAGCUCCCUGCUGUGAUAACACUAACUACACCAUGUAAGCUUUAAUUAACCAGAAGGAUCUACAGGAGCGUAAAGGAAAAGGCAUCGUGAUAUUUUAAUCUUUCAGAGAGAAAAAAGGGAAACUAAACGAGUCUAAUAAAGAAGCUUUGGUGAAACAUCUGAGAAAAAGGCCACAAGAGAGGAUCACUGGGUGAAGAAAAGCUGCUUGUUUUCUGUUGCUACGCUCAAACCCACUUGUUUCUGAUGACAGCUGGGCCUCUGCAGAGGCUAAUGAUAACCUGAAUCAGGUGUGCGUUUCAGGAAAAAUGUAAGUAUGGUUCUCCCUCAGGAUGGUGGCAGGGAAACUGAUCUCUGAGCAAAGUUUUAACUUCUAAAGAAAGAAAACACCAUCUAAAGAGGAUCCUUCGUGCUUCCACACAGACGAUUUGUGCUACACCGAAACCUUCGGCCUCUUCUGUGUUUCCUAUCCAAGCUGGGAUUCGGCGAGCGGCUCCUCCUGCCUUCAGCUAGAACAGAGCACCGAUGUCCUCUUCUGCCUGUGCGCCAUGCCAGUUGCACAUUUUCCCAGAGGUCAUUGCACCACAGUGGUGACCCGAAGUUACCGGGACUACCGAAUAUAUUGUGACAGACGUUAAGCGUGAGUAGGAGCAGCUCUCAUCACCCAUCACCUCUGUGAAAUGAAGGGGCCCUGAAAGCAGCCAGCCGCCCUGCUGGACACAGCUCAGCUGUUAGAGGAAGUGUUUGACAGGAGUGGCAGGUACUUGACCUUCUCUCUUGCUUUUUCUGACUCUCACUUCUUCUUCCUUGUCUCACACUCUCUUGUUCAGUGUCACCGCCUCGCCGCUGGCUGGCCAGCCGCUCCAAAGCCUAUUGGGUGU